UACGUAGGGGGCAAGCGUUGUCCGGAUUUAUUGGGCGUAAAGAGCGUGUAGGCGGCUUUACAGGUCCGUUGUGAAAACUCGAGGCUUAACCUCGAGCUGUCGGCGGAAACCAUCUGGCUAGAGUCCGGAAGAGGAGAAUGGAAUUCCUGGUGUAGCGGUGAAAUGCGCAGAUAUCAGGAAGAACACCCGUGGCGAAGGCGGUUCUCUGGGACGGUACUGACGCUGAGACGCGAAAGCGUGGGGAGCGAACAGG
rnacentral:rRNA from 1 species